GACGAACGCUGGCGGCGUGCUUAACACAUGCAAGUCGAACGGAAAGGCCCUGCUUUUGUGGGGUGCUCGAGUGGCGAACGGGUGAGUAACACGUGAGUAACCUGCCCUUGACUUUGGGAUAACUUCAGGAAACUGGGGCUAAUACCGGAUAGGAGCUCCUGCUGCAUGGUGGGGGUUGGAAAGUUUCGGCGGUUGGGGAUGGACUCGCGGCUUAUCAGCUUGUUGGUGGGGUAGUGGCUUACCAAGGCUUUGACGGGUAGCCGGCCUGAGAGGGUGACCGGCCACAUUGGGACUGAGAUACGGCCCAGACUCCUACGGGAGGCAGCAGUGGGGAAUAUUGCACAAGGGGCGGAAGCCUGAUGCAGCAACGCCGCGUGCGGGAUGACGGCCUUCUGGUUGUAACCCGCUUUCGCCUGUGACGAAGCGUGAGUGACGGUAAUGGGUAAAGAAGCACCGGCUAACUACGUG
rnacentral:rRNA from 1 species